UCGAGAAUCUUCCGCAAUGGGCGAAAGCCUGACGGAGCAAUGCCGCGUGCAGGAUGAAGGCCUUCGGGUCGUAAACUGCUGUCACCGGGGAUGAAUAAUGACAGUACCCGGGGAGGAAGUCACGGCUAACUACGUGCCAGCAGCCGCGGUAAUACGUAGGUGACGAGCGUUGUUCGGAAUUAUUGGGCGUAAAGGGUUCGUAGGAGGUUUAUUAAGAUUGGUGUGAAAUCCCAAGGCUCAACCUUGGAACUGCAUUGAUUACUGAUGAACUAGAGUGUCGUAGAGGAAAGCGGAAUUCCAGGUGUAGCGGUGGAAUGCGUAGAUAUCUGGAAGAACACCGACAGCGAAGGCAGCUUUCUGGGCGAUAACUGACUCUGAGGAACGAAAGCAUGGGGAGCAAACA
rnacentral:rRNA from 1 species